AUUGAACGCUGGCGGCAGGCUUAACACAUGCAAGUCGAGCGGAGAGAGGUAGCUUGCUACUGAUCUUAGCGGCGGACGGGUGAGUAAUGCUUAGGAAUCUGCCUAUUAAUGGGGGACAACAUUUCGAAAGGAAUGCUAAUACCGCAUACGUCCUACGGGAGAAAGCAGGGGAUCUUCGGACCUUGCGCUAAUAGAUGAGCCUAAGUCGGAUUAGCUAGUUGGUGGGGUAAAGGCCUACCAAGGCGACGAUCUGUAGCGGGUCUGAGAGGAUGAUCCGCCACACUGGGACUGGGACACGGCCCCGACUCCUACGGGAGGCAGCAGUGGGGAAUAUUGGACAAUGGGCGGAAGCCUGAUCCAGCCAUGCCGCGUGUGUGAAGAAGGCCUUAUGGUUGUAAAGCACUUUAAGCGAGGAGGAGGCUACUUUAGUUAAUACCUAGAGAUAGUGGACGUUACUCGCAGAAUAAGCACCGGCUAACUCUGUGCCAGCAGCCGCGGUAA
rnacentral:rRNA from 1 species